GAUGUUAUUUCUCUGGCGUGGCGCCAUUUACGCGGUAAUCUCGGUUUGUUUAGUAUUACUCGACAUUUAAUGACUUUUUCAAAACUAUUUUCUUACGGUGGUAUUCUUAGCACUUCACGUUUUCGGUAAUUUUAGGUUGCAUUUUUGUGCGUGCGGGCGUACUGAUGAACACGUGUUUUGGGGAGAAGCUCCUAGGCCUAAUAUGGGCCUGAGUUCAUAGCAUAACAUCUGAAGCAGUUAUGUGCUGUGAGUAGGUACCAGGUCUUGUAAUCGUUUUUAAGCAUUUCACAGCUGAAUGUGAUGAAACUUGUGUUGGUAGGGACAUCUGAGAAAGUCUGAUGAAUUGCCAACCUUUCUGACUCGGCGCAAUGAAUCCGUAGAUGAUGCGUGAUGAUCAUUUGUGUUGUGUUCAGCGUGAAGCUAAAUUGCUUUAACCGUCUUAAAUUGCAGAUGUGGCUAUUACCGUCAUCGGUGUUUUACUAUAAGGUUACCAUGUCCUGUGAAUGGCGACGAUGUCAAAGGUGACUGCAUGGGUGAUGGUGGAAUGUUAUCAAGAUGGGAUGUUGGUGACUUAAACCGACUCCAGCAGACUCGGCAGCAGGAGGCUGGGAUGUGACCAGUAGGUUGGAUGUCCUUCCCGUCAGUGUGGUACUGGCAUCUUAUGCUGUAUCCCAGUCCUGUGAUGCCAGUAGAUGAAUCUGGAACGUGCCGAGAGAAAGGAGCAGAGGUUCUUUGGAGAACCAGUAGGAACCAAGAUGUGUGUGACCAUACUACUUAUUGAAGAUUCCCUCCCACCUUGUGUCCUCUUUAACAUCAGGAGGAUGCGUCCAUUUCUUUCCACUCAGGCUACCCAGAUACUUGUCCAGUCCCUCGUCAUCUCAUGCCUUGACUACUGCAAUUCACUUCUAGUGGGUUCACCAGUGCACGCCAUCUGUCCCCUCCGACUGAUUCAGAAUGCAGCUGCUUGACUUGUUUUCAACCUUCCCAAGCUCUCCCACACCACUCCUUUGCUGCACUCUCUCCACUGGCUUCCUGUAGCUGCCUGCAUCAGAUUCAACACUGAUGCUUGCAUACAAAGCCAAAAAUGGUCUGGCACCAUCCUACCAAAGACCUCAUCACACCCCGCACUACACCCCGAUCUCUCGAUCCUCCAGCACUGCUCGACUGGUCCCACCACCCCUCCAGGCACAAGGAAGACGCAUCUCGGCUCUUCUCUGUCCUGGCACCUAGUUGGUCACCUAGAUGUCCGAACAGCUGAAUCCUUGAAUGUCUUCAAGCGACAAUUUAAAAAUAUUCCUUCAGAAAUCUGAAGUAGUACUUUAGCAUCCUACUCUUAACAAGGAAGUUGCACUUUCCCAACAGAGUAUUCAGAUAGAUGGCAGUCAUAGCCUGGGUCUUUGAGCUAGUAUCUGAAAUUCAUUGUAGUGUCUGGCUUGCACAAGUGCUUUCUCUGGCUAAGGUUGUCUGCCCAAUGCUGUAAAUGUAUCUCUCGGAUUGUACAAUAAAUUUCAUAACUCUUA